AAGAUUUUAAGUUAAACUUAAUAAACUAUAAGCCUUCAAAGCUUAAAUUAAAUAAUUAUUUUAAAUCUUA
rnacentral:tRNA from 1 species